rnacentral:precursor_RNA from 15 species
ACACAUUUGUACAAAAUGUUUUCGAUAAAUAGUUAGCAUUGGUCGUUUCUAUGCUUCUUCGUGGUCAUUGAUCGGCCAAUGUUCGCUUUAUUUCGAAUCCUCUAACAACUGGAAAAAAU